rnacentral:rRNA from 1 species
AGAGUUUGAUCAUGGCUCAGGACGAACGCUGGCGGCGUGCCUAACACAUGCAAGUCGAACGGAGAUUUCAGCAAUGAAAUCUUAGUGGCGAACGGGUGAGUAACGCGUGGACAACCUACCUUCUAGAUGGGGACAACACUGCGAAAGUGGUGCUAAUACCGAAUGUUGUAUCUUGGUUGCAUAACUAAGAUACUAAAGAUGGCCUCUAUUUAUAAGCUAUCGCUAGGAGACGGGUCUGCGUCUGAUUAGCUAGUUGGUGGGGUAAUGGCUCACCAAGGCGACGAUCAGUAGCCGGUCUGAGAGGAUGAACGGCCACACUGGGACUGAGACACGGCCCAGACUCCUACGGGAGGCAGCAGUGGGGAAUCUUCCGCAAUGGACGAAAGUCUGACGGAGCAACGCCGCGUGAGUGAAGAAGGUUUUCGGAUCGUAAAACUCUGUUUUCAGGGACGAAUGUGCAGCUUGUAAAUAAUGAGUUGUAAUGACGGUACCUGAGUAGAAAGCCACUGCUAACUACGUGCCAGCAGCCGCGGUAAUACGUAGGUGGCAAGCGUUGUCCGGAAUUAUUGGGCGUAAAGCGCGCGCAGGUGGGAUAUUAAGUCUGGUGUUAAAGUUCGGGGCUCAACCCCGUGAAGCAUUUGGAAACUGAUAUUCUUGAGUGCAGGAGAGGAAAGUGGAAUUCCUAGUGUAGCGGUGAAAUGCGUAGAUAUUAGGAGGAACACCAGUGGCGAAGGCGACUUUCUGGACUGUGUCUGACACUGAGGCGCGAAAGCUAGGGUAGUGAACAGGAUUAG